AGACACCAAGGAAGCUAAAGGUCAAAGGGAUGGAAGAGCAGAGUCUGGGCAUCUUCAGUGGGCAGCUCUGCAGGCCCUGGAGAGGGAGGAACAGUGCCGAGGCCCUGAGAAGCCAGAGUCACGGAAGCUGAUAGAAAAGGUUCUUUUCCCUGGGUUCAAUCAAGCGAUCAUGAAACACACGGCUGGCUUCGUGAACUAGGAGCAGAGCAAUCAUCUCUUUGGAAUUAAUUACGUUCUUGUCUGCCUGCAUCAGUCCUAGCAGAAGCUGAGAGAUCAAGAGGCCACACAUGACCAACAUUUGCAGGUGUAAUGUUAUAUAAACACAUAAGCUUUCCAAGGAUCUCACUCUGUGGCUUUGGCUUGCCUGUAGAUGAGGCUGACCUCAAACUCAGAGAUCUUCCUGCUUCUGCCUCCGAGUACUGGAUUAAAGGAGCCACCACAGCUGGCUGUGAGAUGCUUUCUAAUACUGAUGUAUUCAACAUUUAAGUUUAGAUUAAGAACACCGGUGAGAUGAGGGG